rnacentral:rRNA from 1 species
GGGAUCAAUAUGUCGGUCGUGCCUUCGGUACGUACUGGUAUCAUUGGUUUCUCCUUUCUGACGAACUAUGAUGUCAUUAAUUUGGUGUUAUGAGGAGUUAGGACUGUUACUUUGAAAAAUUAGAGUGUUUAAAGCAGGCUUUUAGCUUGAAUACAUUAGCAUGGAAUAAUGAAAUAGGACGUUCGAACCUAUUUUUGUUGGUUUCUAGGAUCGACGUAAUGAUUAAUAGGGAUAAUUGGGC